GCGGGGGUAGCCAAGUGGUCAAAGGCGCAGGACUUAGGAUCCUGUCCCGUAGGGGUUCAGGAGUUCGAAUCUUCUCCCCCGCA
rnacentral:tRNA from 1 species